AGUGAACGCUGGCGGUAGGCCUAACACAUGCAAGUCGAACGGCAGCACAGUAAGAGCUUGCUCUUACGGGUGGCGAGUGGCGGACGGGUGAGGAAUACAUCGGAAUCUACUUUUUCGUGGGGGAUAACGUAGGGAAACUUACGCUAAUACCGCAUACGACCUACGGGUGAAAGCAGGGGAUCUUCGGACCUUGCGCGAUUGAAUGAGCCGAUGUCGGAUUAGCUAGUUGGCGGGGUAAAGGCCCACCAAGGCGACGAUCCGUAGCUGGUCUGAGAGGAUGAUCAGCCACACUGGAACUGAGACACGGUCCAGACUCCUACGGGAGGCAGCAGUGGGGAAUAUUGGACAAUGGGCGCAAGCCUGAUCCAGCCAUGCCGCGUGGGUGAAGAAGGCCUUCGGGUUGUAAAGCCCUUUUGUUGGGAAAGAAAAGCGGCAGGUUAAUACCCCGCUGUUCUGACGGUACCCAAAGAAUAAGCACCGGCUAACUUCGUG
rnacentral:rRNA from 1 species